rnacentral:lncRNA from 1 species
UCAUAUUCACCCAAUCAUCACAUACAAAUGGACCUGCAAUAUUCCCAUCUUCACAAACAUGCGUACAAAGAUGAGUAGAAAAUCCAUCAUCAAAAAGAUGAAGCUUGUCAAAGGCCUUCUCAAAGUUUUGCGCCGUUUCCAACAUCAAGUAGGUGGAAUUUCACCUUGUAGGAACAUCCAAACACAAUAUUUUGCUACAUUCUACCUCUUGAUGUGCACAACAUUCCCUAAACUUUAAGGACCUUUGCGGAGAUGAUCUCACAUACCUCACAGCUUGUCUAACACGUUUUACAGAAACAUCAAUUUCCUUCAAACCAUCUUGCACAAUUAGAUUAAGUAUGUGAGCCAUGCAUCUCACAUGAAGAUGCUUACCACUCAUCGAAUUAGUUUUCCACAUAUCUAGUUGUUUAGACAAUUCUUUGACCGUGACAUCAUUCGAAGAAGCAUUAUCAAUAGUAACAGUGAAUACCUUAUCCAAUUUUCAUUCAAGCAAACAAUUACCAAUAACUUUUGCCAUUUCGUCACCCUUAUGACUAGAGAUAGGGCAAAAAUUUAGUAUUCUUUUAUGCAACACCCAAUCUCUAUCAAUAAAAUGACCCGUCAAACACAUAUAGUUAAUUCUUUGUAAUGAAGUCCAUGUGUCUGUGGUAAGGCAAAUUUUUGGUUUUACUUCUCUGAAAUUUUUCAUUAGUGUAAGCCUUUCUUCAUUGUAAACUUGAAAAUAAUCCCUUGUAAUUGUCCUACGAGAAGGAACAUUAAAUAGAGGUUGGGCUAUGCUCAUAAACUUCUUAAAGCCUUUCUUUUCAACAAAACUAAAAGGUAAUUCCUCUGUAAUUACCAUCUCAACUAAAGCCCUCCUAACUAGUUCUUGUUCAAAUUUUCAAAGCACCACACCAUUAAUUUGCCCAUCCUUUUUUAAACACAAUUGUGUUUGAGUAUUAUCAACUUUUCGUGGUAUUUUUGGACACUUCUUUAAAUGAGUAUUCAAUGAUGUUGUUCCAUUCAAUCGUGAAUCAGCCUUAUAAUCACGACCACAAUAUCUACACUUUGCUCUAUCACCUCCAUUAUCAUCUUUAAACUUUUCAAAAUGAUCCCAAGCAGUUGAUCUACAUUGUACGAUUUUUUUUUUUUUUGGGUCUUGACUAGUUUCAACUGAAUUUGUAGGUGAAGAUGUGAUUUCGCUUUCAGAUGAACCCACCCCACUUACUCUACUUUCAACUUCUGUCAUCUAUAGAAAAUCGAAUGAAAAUAGAAUUAAGGUCAGAACUCCUAUAAGUCUAUAACAAAUAGACACUACAAGAAAUCAUAACUACGACGACAUUUAUUUAGCGACAUAUAUAAUAAAUGUCGAAAAAAAUUAAUUCUUUGAUAUUAAAAUUUUGGUAAGUAUUUUUCUAUUCUAAUCUGUUGUUCACUGGAUUAAAUUUCUGGUUAACUGCCUUUAAAAUAUUUUACAUAAGAUUAAAGUUUGCACUUUCUUUGAUUCAUCUUUUCAUGUUGAACUGAUUUUGUACUAGUAGUGAUGAGAUUAUUAACAUUAUUUGGUUGUUCAAUCGUACUUACUGCUAUAGUUUACUGCUAUAGUUUAUUUAACAUGUUUUCAAGCCAUUAUUUUGACCAUGAACUAGAAUUGCUCUUGACCUUUUAUACCUUUUUAUAAUUAUUUUGUGGAGUACUGGACCUGGACUUAAUAGUUGGCUUGUCAAUUUGUCAAUGCUGUUUUUCUUGUUAAUUGUACUAUGCUCGGAUGCAAUUGAUCUUUCAAGAUCUCAUUCUUCUGCUAUAGCUAGUUAGCUACUAAUUUUUCUAUGUUCAUAAGUGAAAACAUGUUUAAUCUGUAACUUUCUCUUUUAACUUUAGAGUUUAUUUACAUUACUUAUUUAUUGUAGUGGUAUGUAAAGCAAAUCUUUUGCUUUUUAGGUUGGCCAUCUACCUAGAAACCUCAUUUGGCAGAAACAUCUAAAUCCAAGCACCUUUCUCUUUUAACUUUAGAGUUUAUUUAUAAUACUUAUUUAUUGUAGUGGUAUGUAAAGCAAAUUCCUUGCUUUUUCGGUUGGCCAUAAACUGAUAAACCUCCUUUGGCAGAAACAUCCAAGCACCUUAUUAUUUUAUUGGUGUACUUGAUUGCUUUUUGAAAUUUUGAGAGAAAUUGUGGUGCUUAAUACUAAAGUAAAGCUGUCCAUACGUUAGACCUGAUUUUGAAAUAUAUUGAAGUGAAAGAAUAAGACAGUGAGACAUUUUCUUUCUUCAUACACAAAGAAUAACAGUGAGAUAAUUAAAAAUCAACAUAAACAAAAGACUAACAGUCAGACUAAUUGAAAAUCAACAUACACAAAAGAUUAAGACAUUUUCUUUAUUCAUAACUCAGAAGAACUUGCACUAACCUGAGAAUGAAAGAUGAGCGACGAGCUGAGGAAGAAGGCGUCACAGUUGAGUUGAGGAAGAAGGCGCAGAACUCGCAGGAACUCAGAAGAAGUCGCAGCAGUCGGCGACGACGAGUCGCAGCAGUCGCAACAGUCGCACAGCAAGAAGGAAGAACUGAAGAGGCGAACUUUUCAAUUGAUGUAGGUUUGAGAACCCUAAAUCUAAUUCUUUAUUUAGGUUUGGAAAAUGGAAAAUGGGAAGUGACUAAGUGUAAUGUGUAUUAGUGAUUUAGUGAGUUGUAACCAAUGGGUUUGGACUUUGGGUAUUAGACAGAGACAGACUAUCAAUAAGUUU